rnacentral:lncRNA from 1 species
GGCAUAUUUGGUUAGGAUAGCAUAGCAAAUAUUAUCCUUGUCUUCAGCAGCAAAGCUUUCUGUAUUUGGAAAUGUUUCACUUUUCCUUUCCUGGCCAAUCUCUCUGCAGCGCUUCUUGGUUGGAGUUCCUAUUUGUCAAUUGUCCCAUUUUUGGCUACCAGAGCUCUGAGGUUUCAAGCUGAAGAUGAGAAACUUGCACUUUUGUGGUUUGGGGUGUAAGAAUGUGAAAACCAGGGGAUUUUCACCCUGACCCCAAAUCCCGCAGCGUUCCAGCACGUCUGCUUAUCCCGGCAGUGUUUAUGUCGGAUCUGAGCCACCGAAUACCAGGCUACCUCCUUUUUCUAGCUUUUAUUUUUAUUUUCCUGGUUGGUUCUGCUGCCCGCUGGAUCUUGCAGAGUAACAGUUGAAGACAGAAAUGCCCGAGAGCGAAGAAAGCAGAGAAUUGAAUUGCUGGAGUGACAUUUCUUCCUCUCUCUUCUAUUGAAGAAGAAAUGAAUCCUCUGACAACAGACCAUAGAAGGGAAGUGAUGGAGGCAUAUCCCAAUGACCUGCUUGCCGUUCAACACCUUGCUCUGGCUCUUUGCCUUGCCUUACAGAGGCACUCAGUGCUGGAUUCCUCCUUUCCUGGAUUCCCAGGGCAUAAUUACUCCAUUCCUUUGAUGGCAAUAACCUGAACUUUGAAAUAUGGGAAAAUGAAUCAGACAGGAGAUGGAUGAAGUCAUUUUCUAGAAGCUGCUCAGACUGUAUUCCCAUCCAAAACAAGAGCUAUUGAUGGUCUUGGUGACCACAACCAUCAUCUCACACUAAUUACUCUCAAUUGCUC